rnacentral:rRNA from 1 species
CAGGAUGAACGCUAGCGGCAGGCUUAAUACAUGCAAGUCGAGGGGUAACAUGGGUAGCAAUACCUGAUGACGACCGGCAAACGGGUGCGGAACACGUACGCAACCUUCCCAUAACUGGUGAAUAGCCUUCCGAAAGGGAGAUUAAUACACCGUAACAUAACGAAGCGGCAUCGCUUUGUUAUUAUAGGCUUCGGCCGGUUUUGGAUGGGCGUGCGCCUGAUUAGGUAGUUGGCGGGGUAACGGCCCACCAAGCCUGCGAUCAGUAACUGGUGUGAGAGCACGACCAGUCACACGGGCACUGAGACACGGGCCCGACUCCUACGGGAGGCAGCAGUAAGGAAUAUUGGUCAAUGGACGAAAGUCUGAACCAGCCAUGCCGCGUGAAGGAUGAAGGCCCUCUGGGUUGUAAACUUCUUUUAUCUGGGACGAAAAAAGCUCAUUCUUGAGCACUUGACGGUACCAGAGGAAUAAGCACCGGCUAACUCCGUGCCAGCAGCCGCGGUAAUACGGAGGGUGCAAGCGUUAUCCGGAUUCACUGGGUUUAAAGGGUGCGUAGGUGGGUCUGUAAGUCAGUGGUGAAAUCUCCGAUUUUAACUCGGAAACUGCCAUUGAUACUAUAGGUCUUGAAUCAUCUGGAGGUAAGCGGAAUAUGUCAUGUAGCGGUGAAAUGCUUAGAUAUGACAUAGAACACCAAUUGCGAAGGCAGCUUACUACGGGUGUAUUGACACUGAGGCACGAAAGCGUGGGGAUCAAACAGGAUUAGAUACCCUGGUAGUCCACGCCCUAAACGAUGGAUACUCGACAUCAGCGAUACACUGUUGGUGUCUGAGCGAAAGCAUUAAGUAUCCCACCUGGGAAG